CCUACGGGUGGCAGCAGUGAGGAAUAUUGGUCAAUGGGCGCGAGCCUGAACCAGCCAAGUCGCGUGAGGGAGGACGGCCCUACGGGUUGUAAACCUCUUUUGCCGGGGAGCAACGGGCGUCACGUGUGGCGCCACUGAGAGUACCCGGAGAAAAAGCAUCGGCUAACUCCGUGCCAGCAGCCGCGGUAAUACGUAGGGGGCUAGCGUUAUCCGGAAUUACUGGGCGUAAAGGGUGCGUAGGUGGUUUCUUAAGUCAGAGGUGAAAGGCUACGGCUCAACCGUAGUAAGCCUUUGAAACUGGGGAACUUGAGUGCAGGAGAGGAGAGUGGAAUUCCUAGUGUAGCGGUGAAAUGCGUAGAUAUUAGGAGGAACACCAGUUGCGAAGGCGGCUCUCUGGACUGUAACUGACACUGAGGCACGAAAGCGUGGGGAGCAAACAGGAUUAGAUACCCUUGUAGUC
rnacentral:rRNA from 1 species